rnacentral:rRNA from 1 species
AUGGCGCGCGGAGGAGAAGCAGGGCCGGGGCGUGUCGAAAGGGUGCAGCAGCUGCUGCUGCUGCCGGCAGCUGCUGCCGGCGGCGAGGGGGAUGCAGGGCAGGCAGAGUUCCUGCUCGAGGAGGUGCAGGUGAAGGGCGUCGUGGUGCUCUGCUGCAGGGUGCCAUGGCGGGGAGGCGACAAAGAGGAGAUGUCCAUGGCAGCGUCGGGCAGGGCUCGAGGCAGAGGGCAACCGCGAACCGCGGAGGCGCGACAACAGAGGCCGAAGGGGAGGUCGAUGCCGCGGGAACGGAGGCACAAGGACUCGUCGGAUCCAAUGUGA